rnacentral:rRNA from 1 species
AGAGUUUGAUCAUGGCUCAGAACGAACGCUGGCGGCAUGCCUAACACAUGCAAGUCGAACGAGACCUUCGGGUCUAGUGGCGCACGGGUGCGUAACGCGUGGGAAUCUGCCCCUCGGUUCGGAAUAACAGUUAGAAAUGACUGCUAAUACCGGAUGAUGACGAAAGUCCAAAGAUUUAUCGCCGAGGGAUGAGCCCGCGUAGGAUUAGCUAGUUGGUGGGGUAAUGGCUCACCAAGGCGACGAUCCUUAGCUGGUCUGAGAGGAUGAUCAGCCACACUGGGACUGAGACACGGCCCAGACUCCUACGGGAGGCAGCAGUGGGGAAUAUUGGACAAUGGGCGAAAGCCUGAUCCAGCAAUGCCGCGUGAGUGAUGAAGGCCUUAGGGUUGUAAAGCUCUUUUACCAGGGAUGAUAAUGACAGUACCUGGAGAAUAAGCUCCGGCUAACUCCGUGCCAGCAGCCGCGGUAAUACGGAGGGAGCUAGCGUUGUUCGGAAUUACUGGGCGUAAAGCGUACGUAGGCGGUUAUUCAAGUCAGAGGUGAAAGCCCGGGGCUCAACCCCGGAACUGCCUUUGAAACUAGGUAGCUAGAAUCUUGGAGAGGUCAGUGGAAUUCCGAGUGUAGAGGUGAAAUUCGUAGAUAUUCGGAAGAACACCCGUGGCGAAAGCGAUCCGCUGGCCCGCUCUUGACGCUCAGGUGCGAAAGCUAGGGUAGCGACCGGGAUUAGAUACCCCGUUAGUCCUAGCCGUAAACGAUGGGCACUAGGUGUUGUCGGUAUCGACCCCGGCAGUGCCGUAGCUAACGCAUUAAGUGCCCCGCCUGGGGAGUACGGCCGCAAGGCUAAAACUCAAAGGAAUUGACGGGGGCCCGCACAAGCAGCGGAGCGUGCGGUUCAAUUCGAUGGUACGCGAAGAACCUUACCCAGGCUUGACAUGCAGGUGGUAGCGACCCGAAAGGGAAGCGACCCGCAAGGGAGCCUGCAAUGGUGUUGCACGGCUGUCGUCAGCUCGUGUCGUGAGAUGUUGGGUUAAGUCCCGCAACGAGCGCAACCCUCGCCGCCUGUUGUAUCCCUCAGGCGGGACUGCCGAGAGAAACUCGGAGGAAGGUGGGGAUGACGUCAAGUCCGCGUGGCCCUUAUGCCUGGGGCUACACGCACGCUACAAUCGCCGGUCACGGCGGGUCGCAACUGCGCGAGCAGGAGCUAAUCCCUUAAAACCGGCGUCAGUUCAGAUCGGAGGCUGAAACUCGCCUCCGUGAAGUCGGAGUUGCUAGUAACCGCGGGUCAGCACACCGCGGUGAAUAUGUUCCCGGGCCUUGUACACACCGCCCGUCAAGUGAUGGGAGUCGGAAGCACCCGAAGCCGGUGGGCCAACCGCAAGGAGGCAGCCGUCGAAGGUGAGGCCGGCGACUGGCACUAAGUCGUAACAAGGUAACCGUA